AAAAGUGAUAAAACCCAUUCAAGAACGCGCUACUCAGCUCUCAUUGUCUUUCUCUCUAAACCUUCUCUCUAAAAGCUUCCUCAUAGGGUAAAAGAGAAUGUUAAACUCAGGAUUCUUGUGGCCUUAACGACAUCCAAACACGUUCAAGAACGCAGCUCUCACCUGACGUGUGAGACUAACGGCUUCAAAAGAGAGAGUAAAACCUGUUCAAUAACACAGUUGCCAGUUAGCUUCAAAAGUGGGAGUAUGGCGAUAUCAACCCAUAAAACCCAUUCAAGAACGCAGUACUCAGCUCUCAUUGUCUUUCUCUCUAAAGCUUCUCUCUAAAAGCUUCCUCAUAGGGUUUCGAUAAGGGGAUUCAGUGAAGAUUGUGGUGUUUUCGUUCUUCGGACAGUUAAAUUUCUCAAACUGAAUUAUUCUUUCAGGAAAACUAAGGGCUCGGAGAGGAGAGGAGUGAAGAUUGAGAGGGUUUCGAUAAGGGGAUUCGGUGAAGAUUGUGGUGUUUUCGAUCUCCGGACUGUUAAAUUUGUCAAACUCGACAAUUCUUUCAGGCUAUAACCUCUUUUAUUCAUUUGUUUAUUUAUGAAGAUCUCAAUUGUAGUUUCUUUGUUCUUAUGGAUUUUUGUUUAAAUCGGAUUAUUGUGGAAUU